rnacentral:rRNA from 1 species
CCUGCAUGAAGUUGGAAUCGCUAGUAAUCGCGGAUCAGCAUGCCGCGGUGAAUACGUUCCCGGGCCUUGUACACACCGCCCGUCACACCAUGAGAGUCGGGGACACCCGAAGUCCGUAGUCUAACCGCAAGGGGACGCGGCCGAAGGUGGAUUCGAUAAUUGGGUGAAGUCGUAACAAGGUAAC